UAUUUGGGAUUUUUAAAAAAAAAUUAUUGGGUCUUGGGGAAGGAAUUAACUGAUGCACCUUCCUGUCUUGCUAGUCUGGGCAAAAGAAGGGAAGUUGCAUUUCUUUCUGGAGGCUGAGCUUCGUGGAGGGAGCAGCGGGGAAAAGGGUCCUUCGGAAAUGCUUGCUUCGAUGUUUGUUGAAAUGCUGUGAAAUUUUUGGAUGAGCAAAUGCAAAAAACGAAAAUAAAAGCCCAAACCAACAAGCCAGGGCCGGCCCUGCCAUUGGCCGAAGGGAGGCAGUCACCUCUGGUGGCAGAGAGCCUAAGUAGCCUUGGGCCAGCUGCACACUCCCACAGCACCCCCCAGAAGACAGGACUGCUAAAAGCCAUCUGAAUACUCUCUACUAAGGAAACCCCGGAAAAGGUCCCCAUAAGACAGAAUUGAUUUGAAGUUUGUGCACAGAAUAGCUGCAUGCCCAGUUAUGGUGAAAUCAUGCUGCGCGAUCAACUGCAACAACAAAUUUUCCCACGGCAACAAUAUCUCAUUC